AAAUCUUAUCAAAUCUAGGUAUUGCAAUUGUAAUUGAGAAAGAAAACUCAUAAUGGUGAGAUGUUGUACUAAAUACUGAUAAUAUUUA
rnacentral:ncRNA from 1 species